rnacentral:rRNA from 1 species
CCUACGGGAGGCAGCAGUGGGGGAUAUUGGACAAUGGGGGGAACCCUGCUCCAGCGACGCCGCGUGAGUGAAGAAGUAUUUCGGUAUGUAAAGCUCUAUCAGCAGGGAAGAAAUAAAGUCCUUCGGACUUUGGACGGUACCUGACUAAGAAGCCCCGGCUAACUACGUGCCAGCAGCCGCGGUAAUACGUAGGGGGCAAGCGUUAUCCGGAUUUACUGGGUGUAAAGGGAGCGUAGACGGCAGCGCAAGUCUGGAGUGAAAUCCCAUGGCUUAACCAUGGAACUGCUUUGGAAACUGUGCAGCUGGAGUGCAGGAGAGGUAAGCGGAAUUCCUAGUGUAGCGGUGAAAUGCGUAGAUAUUAGGAGGAACACCAGUGGCGAAGGCGGCUUACUGGACUGUAACUGACGUUGAGGCUCGAAAGCGUGGGGAGCAAACAGGAUUAGAUACCCUUGUAGUC